rnacentral:tRNA from 1 species
GUGUAGGAAGUGAGAAAGUUCGCAUCUGGCUUCGGACCAGAUUUUGGGGGUGCGAGUCCCUCCUUAUACU